rnacentral:rRNA from 1 species
CAACCCUUGACAUCCUAGGACAACUCCAGAGAUGGAUUCUUCCUUCGGGAACUCUGAGACAGGUGCUGCAUGGCUGUCGUCAGCUCGUGUUGUGAAAUGUUGGGUUAAGUCCCGCAACGAGCGCAACCCUUAUCCUUGUUUGCCAGCGAGUAAUGUCGGGAACUCCAGGGAGACUGCCGGUGAUAAACCGGAGGAAGGUGGGGACGACGUCAAGUCAUCAUGGCCCUUACGAGUAGGGCUACACACGUGCUACAAUGGCGCAUACAGAGGGCAGCCAACUUGCGAAAGUGAGCGAAUCCCAAAAAGUGCGUCGUAGUCCGGAUUGGAGUCUGCAACUCGACUCCAUGAAGUCGGAAUCGCUAGUAAUCGUAGAUCAGAAUGCUACGGUGAAUACGUUCCCGGGUCUUGUA